UUGAAAGCGUCAGUUUUUAGGGUUCAGUCUUCUUUAUGGCCCAGCUCUCACGUCCAUACAUGACUACUGGGAAAAAUCAUAGCUUUGACUGUACGGACCUUUGUUGGCAAAGUGGUGUCUCUGGUUUUUAAUAUGCUGUCUAGGUUUUUUAGAAUCAGGGUUUUCCUCUUUCCCUUGAUGGCAUCUCAUUUUGGGGGCUCCUGGGCCCAUGGGGGCUUACAGAGUGUGGUGGGUGACAAGAGGGACCCAAUUUUCCCUCUCCCUGUAUCAAGAGUGCCCUUGCACUCUGACUUCAACCUUGAAUGUGUGACUUGCUUUGACCAAUGAGAUGUUGCAAAUGAGAAGCAAUUCGAGGCUCCAAAAGCACUUGUAUGUUUACAGUCUCUAGAUCUUUCUCUCUGCCGUUACCACUAGGAGCGCCAACCUCAUCUGCGGACCCCAGAGAUGGAUGAGAGGUGCGUGGAGCGGGCCUGGCUCACUCCGGAGUGGUCCAGGCUGUCCUAGAUCCAGCAGCCCCAGCAAUGAGAGCCAGCCCGGCCACAGCUACUGCAGCCCGGAGAGGCUUGUUUCAGGAAGAAAGAAGCAGCCAGAAAAUACAGGCCGAAAAUUGACCUCAGCCUCAGCAUUCAAGGGGCAAGUAAGCCCAUUUGAAGCCAACCCUGAGGGUUCCAGACGCCAAAUAUGGGUUUUUCCCAAGAAGACAUUCAGAGAUCUCACGACUUCUUGAAUCAGCUCCUCCUCUGCCCCACGCCAUCACACCCCAACAUUAACCUGGGUGGUUGGGUGUGGGUCCGAGCAUGUGGCCCGAGGGCUCGCUAACUGCUGUGUGCGGGAUGCUUGGGGAGCGUUUGAAUGUCUCGGUACCCACAUGGCCCCCAGACCAACUAAAUCGGGGUCUGGAGGGUGACCUGGGCAACAGCACGUUCAGACGCCCCAGUGAUUCCAUGAGCAGUCAAGUCUAGGAGCCCACGGCCUGGUCUGCUCUAGGCCGAGAGGAACCUGGGUCGAAGUCCUCCUGCCCUCCUGCUGUGUGGCUUCAGGUGAGUCACCUGGAGUCAGAGCCUCCGUGUCCUCACCUGUGACGGGGUGUCCCUGGCUCGAGAGGGAUGCAGUGAAAGAGUCCGAGACGGGUGAGGCCUGGUGGGAGAAGCUGCCCUCUGUAAGUUCAGAAACCAAGGUACCAGGCUUUGGAGAGGGGGCCGCAUCCCACCUGGAAAAUGAGAUGGUCAGAUCAGACAUCACUUUGACGACAAAGGUCCAUCUAGUCAGAACGAUGGUUCAUCUAGCAGUCAUGUACGGAUGGGAGAGCUGGACCAUAAAGAAGGCUGAGCACUGAAGACUUGCUUUUGAACUGUGGUAUUGGAGAAGACUCUUGAGAGUCCCUUGGACUGCAAGGAGAUCCAGCCAGUCCAUCCUAAAGGAAAUCAACCCUGACUAUUCAUUGGAAGGACUGAUGCUGAAACUGAAACUCCAAUCCUUUGGCCACCUGAUGCGAAGAGCCAACUCAUUGGAAAAGACCCUGAUGCUGGGAAAGAUUGAGGGCAGGAGAAGGGAGCAACAGAGGAUGAGAUGGUUGUAUGGCAUCACCGAUUCAAUGGACAUGAACUUGGGCAAAUUCAGGAGAUGGUGAGGGACAGGGAGGCCUGGCGUGCUGCCAUCCAUAGGGUUGCAAAGAGUCAGACACGGCUUAGUAACUGAACAAUAACAGGUUCCCUUGGGCUCUUAACACACUGGGAGUCUGCAGUCAAAAGGGGUGAAUUGCAGGUGGUCCCGAAUCACCUUGAAAGUGAUUUCCCCCCAGCAGCUCAGGAAACAUCUGAAUCCUGACUGAGAAAAACGGGGCCUGCCAGCUACCAAGUUAGCCCCCCCAGCCCACCCCACCCCCACCUCUGCCCCAUCACUCAGCAGACUUGCCGUUCAGCCUUUCUUUGU
ensembl:lncRNA